CUGACCAGACAAGGGCAUUGUCCCCACUCAGAAAUGCUCCAAAAGAACUAAGGAGAAGGAUUAGAGGAGACAAAAUGUUUUUGCUAAAUUCUUGCACUGAAGCCAGAGUUGCUCAGGAAAUAACAGCUCAGUUUGUUAGCUCUGAUCUCUAAUUCCAUCCCAAAUUCAUAACGUUAUUUUUUUUGUUUGUUUCCAUUGUUCAUUUGUUGUGUGCCUCUUAGGAUGUCCCUUUCCAUCUGGGCCUCAAUGACCUUCCCUGGGAAAUGGGGUACUUGUACUUAACCAUACCCCUGCUUCUAAAGACAAACUGGGAAAAUUAAAUGGAAAUUCUAAAAGAAAGCUUCAUCUUUUAGUUCCUUAGAGAACUAGCAUUACAGUUGAUUACCUAGGUGAUGAUUCAAGCUAUUCAACCCUUGUCAUUCUGAAUGUACUUCUCUUCCAGCUUGCCUUGGAAAGAAAAUCAGCCAGUUAAAGAAAGCAUCAGCUGGAACUCUCUCAGCUCUCAGUGACUGCAGAGUGAACUAUGGCAUUCAGCAUAGAAAAUGUUCUUCCAGUGCUCCAAUAAAUAGCAUUCAGUUUUUAGCCCCAGGGAAUUCAGUGUAGCCCUGGUUACUCCUCACUGCCACAGCCAACACUGCUUCCUUGGGUAGGAGAAAUGAUUUAUGGAGGUGAGCAGCCAUUCCAAACUUUAAUUAAGCACGUAAAGAACCAUCAAUUUUUUAAAGGGCACCAACCCAGAAAGAUGAGAGCUGAACUCCUGUAGAACAUAAUUACCUUUCCAACAUUUUAUCUGAUCUCCUUGUUUUACUUCUCUAAGAUGAGCUGAACAACAGCCAAUCAACCACCCCCACAGGCCACCCUUGGACCAUGACAUACAGGGCAUCUGACUGAUAGUCCCACCAAGACUGCCUAUGAUCAUAAAUGUCCAGCUGUUUGGGCAGACAGCAGUCAAGGCUGUGCUGUGGUGCAG
rnacentral:lncRNA from 1 species